rnacentral:rRNA from 1 species
AGAGUUUGAUCCUGGCUCAGAUUGAACGCUGGCGGCAGGCUUAACACAUGCAAGUCGAGCGGAGAUGAGGUGCUUGCACCUUAUCUUAGCGGCGGACGGGUGAGUAAUGCUUAGGAAUCUGCCUAUUAGUGGGGGACAACAUUUCGAAAGGAAUGCUAAUACCGCAUACGCCCUACGGGGGAAAGCAGGGGAUCUUCGGACCUUGCGCUAAUAGAUGAGCCUAAGUCGGAUUAGCUAGUUGGUGGGGUAAAGGCCUACCAAGGCGACGAUCUGUAGCGGGUCUGAGAGGAUGAUCCGCCACACUGGGACUGAGACACGGCCCAGACUCCUACGGGAGGCAGCAGUGGGGAAUAUUGGACAGUGGGGGGAACCCUGAUCCAGCCAUGCCGCGUGUGUGAAGAAGGCCUUUUGGUUGUAAAGCACUUUAAGCGAGGAGGAGGAGCUCUAGAUUAAUACUCUAGAUGCUUGGACGUUACUCGCAGAAUAAGCACCGGCUAACUCUGUGCCAGCAGCCGCGGUAAUA